rnacentral:sRNA from 1 species
UAAAUAUUUAAUUUAUUUUCCUAUUUGUUCCUCAUCAAAUUUUGGGAAGGAACAAUUUUCUUCUAACAUUCCUAAAAAAAUGAGGAAUGAUUAGGAAUAUUGUGAGGUCUACAUGUUACAAUUUGGAAAAAAAUAUUACUAGUGAUUGGUGAAAAAAAAGAGGAACAUGUUGUUCCUCCCCAUUCCUUCUCUAAAUAAUGGUCACCAAUCGGACCCUUACUUUUGGAUUUGAUAGUUGUUGGGGUCGGAUUCCCCCACAAGCAAGACCGAGCCAAACAGUCUAAGAAUAACAAUCACCUCAUAGUUAAACAUAUAAAUGGCCCCUAGCCUAGAACAAAGCACCUCGGGACCUUAUUCGAUCGACCGUCCCGAAGAGAGUUUGUAAAAUGGCUCGGGUGUUAAUCAUAUGAACACAGCCCGAGCCAAUCGUGAGAACGCUGCGGGAAACAUCUAUAUCGGCUCGGGAGACAGCCAACUGAGCUUAAUGGAGUCAUCAAGCGCGCCCCGAGCCGGUACAUACCGUUUGCCCCGAAGCCACCUCUCAAACGACCACCGAGCCGUGAAAAACACGCGAGGCAAAGACUUGUAAAAACCAUUCAUUCUCCAAGGAUCUUUUCCGGUAAAAUAGGAUCUUUUAUGGGACUUUCGGAAAUGAUAAAGGAGAAUCUUUGAAGAUAAUGUCGAAAUCAGGAAAUCUCCCCAAAACCUCCGAAGAAUAAGGAGAAUAUCCUUAGGACGAUUAUCCUCUAGAAUCGACCUAAGGAUAAAUAAGAAUCUUCCGAAGAAUAUCGGUAGGGAGGCGGUUUAAGGAUCCUAUAUAAAGUGCCUUAGGGACUUCACAAAGGGGGGAUCUUUGGAUACUCACAAGAAACGCAUAACUUUAUACAUAUUGAGAACUACGAAUGGCUUGAUCCCUUCACAGGGUACGUAGGCAAUCCAUUAUGGAUGCAGCUAUACCUUUUUAAAACCCUAAUUCUUUUUCUGUUCUUGAGCAAACCCUAAUGUAUUUCAGAAGAGAUUAGAACCUCUUUUAUUAUCGAGUCUUGGAUAGAAUACCUAAUGAAGA